UCUUUCGUAACCUAUGGUUCUAGAUAUAUCGAAAACAUUGUAUGAUUCCGAAUUAUAAUAACCAUGGUUUAGAUGUGUCUUAUACUCUUAAUCUCAUAUCAUAUAAUAACUCAUCUACCUAUAUAUUGAACACAACAAUAAUAAGCAUGUAUGCAAUGAAAUUACAUAUAUAUUUGGUCAGAUAGCAACUCAAUUUGGAAUGUAACUCAUUAUAAUCCUUUUCACCCAAGAGAUUGCACGACAAAGAUACAUAAAAACCCAAGGGUCGUAGUAAAAACCGAUUACACAAAAUAGAAAAGAAGAGCUCUAGCUAAUUGAGUCAUGCAUCAAGACCUAAAUCCAAUGAGCACGUACUAAGAAGCUACCAAAGUAAAGUUUGAAAAGGAGUAGAAGUUAUGCCAAAGGAUUGAAGUUGCCCUAUUGGAUAAAAUGGAACUAACUAGAGUGCAUCUAUCUCUUAGCAAUCCAUAAAGUCUCAUUUUGUCCAAAUCAUGAUCUCGUUAAGCCAACUCCUUCCACCCACACCAUAUUAUGGGUGGAUGCAUGGGGGAAGGAGUUGCUAGAGCGAGAUAGAGAGGACACAUCAUGCAAUACAAGGGGUUUUUAUAAAGAAGAGGC
rnacentral:lncRNA from 1 species